rnacentral:rRNA from 1 species
GACGAACGCUGGCGGCGUGCUUAACACAUGCAAGUCGAACGGAAAGGCCCUGCUUUUGUGGGGUGCUCGAGUGGCGAACGGGUGAGUAACACGUGAGUAACCUGCCCUUGACUUUGGGAUAACUUCAGGAAACUGGGGCUAAUACCGGAUAGGAGCUCCUGCUGCAUGGUGGGGGUUGGAAAGUUUCGGCGGUUGGGGAUGGACUCGCGGCUUAUCAGCUUGUUGGUGGGGUAGUGGCUUACCAAGGCUUUGACGGGUAGCCGGCCUGAGAGGGUGACCGGCCACAUUGGGACUGAGAUACGGCCCAGACUCCUACGAGAGGCAGCAGUGGGGAAUAUUGCACAAUGGGCGGAAGCCUGAUGCAGCAACGCCGCGUGCGGGAUGACGGCCUUCGGGUUGUAAACCGCUUUCGCCUGUGACGAAGCGUGAGUGACGGUAAUGGGUAAAGAAGCACCGGCUAACUACGU